rfam:Triticum aestivum genome assembly, contig: Triticum_aestivum_CS42_TGACv1_scaffold_645343_T_6BS-0.084145_1AL-0.083242
CAAAUACUCCCUCCGUCCGGAAAUACUUGUCAUCAAAAUGGAUAAAAGGAAAUGUAUCUAGACGUAUUUUAGUUUUAGAUACAUCUCUUUUUAUCUAUUUUGAUGACAAGUAUUUUCGGACGGAGGGAGUAGAAA